AGAGUUUGAUCCUGGCUCAGAUUGAACGCUGGCGGCGUGCUUAACACAUGCAAGUCCAACGUGAAAGGGGAGCAAUCCCCCGGUAGGGUGGCGAACGGGUGAGUAAUGCAUCGGAACGUAUCCUUGAGUGGGGGAUAACGCAGCGAAAGUUGUGCUAAUACCGCAUAAGCUCUGAGGAGGAAAGCGGGGGACCGAAAGGCCUCGCGCUGAAGGAGCGGCCGAUGUCCGAUUAGCUAGUUGGUGAGGUAAAGGCUUACCAAGGCGACGACCGGUAGCUGAUCUGAGAGGAUGAUCAGCCACACUGGGACUGAGACACGGCCCAGACUCCUACGGGAGGCGAC
rnacentral:rRNA from 1 species